GCGUGGCAUUCGUGGACGGUUCGGUUUAGUUGAGCUAAAGUCUUUCAUCAGUUAAUAGCACGAAAUUGUGUCUCCCCCAAAAAGCAACCAAAGCAAAUCCAAUCAAUAUGAGCGAAGCAAAGAACCUCAUAACCACCUUCGGCAUCCUGGCCUUCCUGCUCUUCUGCCUGUACCUCAUCUAUGCAGUAUUGUAGACUGCCAGGGCCACUAGGAGGUCCUUUGAGCAGGAAUAUGGGGUAAGACUGGUGAUAAAAUGGAUGUUCUAGGGGUUGAAAAACGUUCGAAAAAGCUAUAAGCACUAUAAAGCAACCAACAACAACAACAACAAAACCUAUCAAAAUGAAUGAAGCCAGAAGUUUGUUCACCACCUUCCUGAUCCUGGCCUUCUUGCUGUUUCUGCUCUAUGCCUUCUACGAAGCCGCUUUCUAAACAACCCCACCCAUGAACCCAAUCAAUCAUCAAUCAAUCAAUCAAGGAUAGCUUACAUGUUGAAUUUCAAUUCCAAGCCAAAUCAUGAACAACUUGUGGCCUAGGAGGAGUUUUAGGACCUUACGCGUUUAAGAUGUUAGCAUUUAAUGGAUUUCUACUAGUAACCUAAGCCAGAUGACGUCAAAGCCACCAGCUGCCAAAUGUCAGGCCCCGCGAUUAGUUUAGCACAGUUCUUAGGGGGCUCGCCGUUCGUUUCGUUAUCGUUAUCGUACCGUUAUCGUUCUGAUGAUGAUGAUGAUGAUGAUGAUGAAUGGUCCACCCAUGCUGAGAGGGCUGCGCUAGAUUUGUUCCAUCUUCGCGGCGGUGCAAGAUCGAUUCAUCCUCAAGGCUCUGUCGGCAACGGCGUCAUCUGUUCUAAUCAUAAAUUUAAUUUUAUGAUUUCUUUUUCGUUUUCGUUUCGCAAUGGAAUUGACUUAAUUUGCAAUUUAUAGACCAUGAUGCACAGCAGCAAGAACAACAGCCACAGCCAUCAAUAAGAACAUUCAAGAUUUUGCUAUAAUUUCAUUGUUAAACCACAAAUUUAUUUCGCAUUCGUAUUUAGUAAGACUUACAUAAUGUAUAACUGCAUUUUACUUGACUUUUCUUUAAUUUAUUGUGAAUAACAAAGCAAAUGCACAUGCAACAAAACAA